UCGUAACAAGGUUUCCGUAGGUGAACCUGCGGAAGGAUCAUUAAAGUUUGCUUAAUUGCAUUACACAUGUUUUUUUAGAGAACUUGCUUGCAAGAACACUAAUAAUUUACUUAGUCAACAAAUAAAAAUAUCAAAACUUUCAACAACGGAUCUCUUGGUUCUCGCAUCGAUGAAGAACGCAGCGAAAUGCGAUACGUAAUAUGAAUUGCAGAUUUUCGUGAAUCAUCGAAUCUUUGAACGCACAUUGCGCCCUGUGGUAUUCCACAGGGCAUGCCUGUUUGAGCGUCAUUUCUCCCUCAAACCUCUGGUUUGGCGUUGAGUGAUACUCGGUUUACUUGAAAAACAUGAAAAGCAUAACUAUUAGGUUUUACCAACUCGUUAUACUAAUCUACAAGUUUGACCUCAAAUCAGGUAGGACUACCCGCUGAACUUAAGCAUAUCAAUAA
rnacentral:misc_RNA from 1 species